UUUCAAAGUGAGCCUUUCAAAAGUGCAUGGAGUGUUGAAGUCAUUGUCAUUUCCGUGCAGUGAAAGACAGAGCGUCAACACUCUUCACGACAUAUGUCAACAGUGCUCCUCCUGAUACGAGAAGAAAAAGGAUGUGCAGGGUGAGCAGGUCAGAGAUUCAAGUUGUUGCUAGAAUUGUUGCUUCACUCAGAGAUUCAAGUUGCCUGGGCCAAGGUAAGAAAAGAACACUGAAAUAUAGCUUCCCAAUAUAACCGAAUUUGGUAAACUGCAGAUGUUAGAACCGAACUUCUCCCAUCUUUAUGUGCUGGAAAAGAUUUUACAGUUCAUGAAUGCAAAGUCAUAUAUAUAAUAUGCAAAAGCUUGAGACUAGUCUGUACAAACUACACACAUCUGAUUCAUUUUUUGAGGAAAUAAUAAGACCAGCAAGCUUCCUGGCAAGUUGAUUCAUAAUCAAAUUAUGCAUCCCUAUGUUAGUAAUCCAACUCAUAACAUAGGGUAAACAAGUCUUACAUUCAAAGUUAUGAUAUUUAUAUGCUUUUGCUGCAGAAGAUAACAAUAUCAGAUGUCAAGUGUUAGCAGUGAUUCCAUUGACUUGCAUAAGAGCAUAAGUUGAAACAUCAAACAGAAAGGUGGUCUCCUGCCUCCCCAUUUCUUUUCUUCUGGAUAAGCGUGCCUCCCCAAAUCUGCAAUUACAUGCACUUCGUUUGCAGCUUUUUGAGACCAGCACUGCAUGUCUGCUUUUUUAGUAUUGUUCAAUUGUGGGUUCGCUCUGUCCUUUUUUUCCUGCAGAAUUGCAAUUUUUCCAUCUAGUUCAGCAAUAGCCGGGGGUAUUCAGGUACUUCCAUUACUUUAAAA
rnacentral:lncRNA from 1 species